ACCGUGUGCGGUCCCACUUCCCGGGGGGGUCACACAUUGUCCCCACUACCACCCCCGGCCUUAUUAAAAUCACCCUUCCCUCCCAAUCAAGCUGAGCCAACAUCUCUGACUGAGUCUGGAAAAAUUCCUUUCUCCUUAACUAGGCCAAAAAAAGGUUGAACAUUUCCCAAAGGAACACUGAGGCACAAAGGCAAAUGCCAGCAAACUGUGGAUGUGGCCGGGGCGGGGGCGGGAAGGGCUCUGCUUCCAGCCUGGUGGGUGCCUCAGUGCUUCUCAGGGACUGGGCCCAGGUCUUUGUCUGGGAAGGGGCUCUCCAUGCACCUGCCAGGCCCUCCAGCCAGGCCCCCUCAACAUCCCCCUGGCCUCCUUGAAUGUUGUCCCGGCUCUGCCCCCUUUCAUGAGGAAAGCCUUGAAUUUUCUCCUCACUCUUCUGGAAGUCACUGGCUCCUUGGCUCAGGGUGUCCCCCACCCUGACCCCAUCUCGCUCUGACCGUCUGGUUGUCCUAAAGCAUGUUCACAGGGUUUCAGGCUGGCUCUGCCUUGGAGCUGCCAUGUUCCACUGGGUCCUCCGAUGAGUCAGCACAGAUUCCCGCGGGCUGUUUCCAAACGUGAAUCACUGUUGGAGUCCCUUU
rnacentral:lncRNA from 1 species